rnacentral:lncRNA from 1 species
CUGGGCGUAUGUGGCGUGGACGGAGGUGGCCGUACGGAGUUGCGUUGGCUGCCGCGCUGGAGGCUAGCUAGAAACCCUAGGGUUUCUGUUUCUGAAAGUUUUGUAUUGGGCCACAUUGUAAUUGGGCUAGGGUUUAGUAAUUUGGGCUAAUUUGGCUUUAGGUCUGGGCUUGGUUUAAUUGGGUUUUGUAAUCUGGACAUUUGGACAUUGGUUUUUUUUUGUUUUCUAUUGGUUUUAUUUUUUUUUUUGAAAUGUAUGUGGGUUGGGCAAAUUUGGGUUACUACACCUGCCCCUCUUUGCUCAUUGUCAUGUAAUGGGAAUGAAGCAAAGACUAAGAAAGCCAAAUUUGCCUGGUCAUAUGGGAUUUUGGUGUUCCUAUUCAAGUAGCCUCAUUCCAUCCUACUGUAUCUUCAGAGGUAUAGGAAUUGGUGCCUCGAUCUAUUCUUCCGCAACAUCGGGG